rnacentral:rRNA from 1 species
UGGGAUGUUGAUGGUGAAACCCUGGGACCUUCGGGCCAGGGGCUAGAAGAGGAUCCUGCGUCUGAUUAGCUAGUUGGUGAGGUAACGGCCCACCAAGGCAUCGAUCAGUAGCCGGCCUGAGAGGGUGAUCGGCCACACUGGAACUGAGACACGGUCCAGACUCCUACGGGAGGCAGCAGUGGGGAAUUUUGCGCAAUGGGCGAAAGCCUGACGCAGCAACGCCGCGUGGGUGAUGAAGGUCUUCGGAUUGUAAAACCCUGUCGCCAGGGACGAAGGGGGCGAGGUUAAUAGCCUUGUUCUUUGACGGUACCUGGAAAGGAAGCCCCGGCUAACUCUGUGCCAGCAGCCGCGGUAAUACAGAGGGGGCAAGCGUUAUUCGGAAUUAUUGGGCGUAAAGGGCGCGUAGGCGGUUUUUUAAGUCGGAUGUGCAAUCCCUGGGCUCAACCCAGGAACUGCAUCCGAGACU